AAAAAGGACAAAAUUUUGUAUGUUAGAAUAUUACAAAGGACUGAAUGGAUUUUUAUCCAGAGAUAAUUAACAGACUUUGAUCCCAGAGAAACUUGAGCUAGAAUAACUGUACCGAGAUUGUUUUCAAUCCAAAACAUGUUGAAUCUUUUUUAGGGUUCUCCCUUCAACCUAUUAAUCUCCCUACACAGGCUUUAAAUUUCAACUUGAAUGGUAAGAAAUUUGAAGUCAACCUACAGGUUUGAUUACGACUGGCCUUCAAAUAUAUUUCUAUAGCUCAAGUACUCAGUAGACUUUCAACAGAACACUACAUCCUUCGAAAAGAGAUGCAGCAGAUUUGAAAUUAUUGCAGCUUCUCAGGAAAUCACAGAGAAUUCUACUGUUAGCAAAGACAAUUCCCAAGUGCUACAAUCUGUAUUGAAAUUUCUGCAACUGCUCUCUAUAUACAAUUUCUCGAACUGCUCGUUCAUAUAGCAGUGAAUUACCCUUAACCCACAUUCAAAUUUUUGUAGCUGUUCAAUCUAUUCAGCAGUGAAAGAUGAGCAGCUACAUUUGGCAAAGUAUUUUAUCAUCCCUAGUCCUAUUUGUAUUAGCUGGGAUAUGUGAAAUAGGUGGAGGAUGGUUCGUAUGGAAAUGGCGUAAAGAAGGAUGGCACUGGGGUUUUUUCAUUUUAGGCUCUCUUAUUCUUAUACUCUAUGGCAUUUUACCCACUUUACAAACCCAGGAUUUUGGUAGGACUUAUGCUGCAUAUGGCGGAUUUUUUAUUGCGCUUUCGCUGUUGUGGGGUUGGGCAUUUGAUUCCCAGCAGCCUGAUGGGUGGGAUAUUUUGGGUGCUGCUGUUGCUGUUGUGGGGGUCUGCAUUGUCAUGUUUGCUCCCAGGAAUUCUCAAACAGGUGCCAUGAAUGAAGUGGAGAAUAGCAGAAAUCUCAUUGGAUGAGAACUACAUGUGUUUUGCAGAGAUUGGAUAUUGGUUAAAAUCAAGUUGUAGGGAUCUAAAGGGUUGAUGCAAUCAGGCAACAGUUGAUUGUUUUCAGGAGGUUUGCCUUUUAGUGGUUAGUUGCAUAUGGAAUCACUUAUCUAGAUUCUAUAUAUACAAGUUGUUCUCAUAGCACAAUUUUUUAUGUUACAUUUAUUAAGACUUCUUAUAAUGAAUUUUAUAAUUCUUGCUAGGGCAUUGUUAUAUUCCACUUGAAGUCAAUGAUUGCAUUCAUGAACUUUCAUUUGGAAAAAAAAAAUGUUCAUUUGGAUUUUGGAUUUGAACUGUAGGUUGCACCUUGAUUGGAUCUAGUAUAUAAGAUUUUUGCUAUUUUGAAUUCCAUAUACUAGAGACCUUUUCAAGAUUGUAUAAUAUAUUAACUUAUUUGAAUUUCACAUGCAAAUUAUCUUUCUAAGAUUGUAAAUUUUGCCCUCAAGUAUAAUUGGGGCACAGAUUGUGGAAUUCUUUCUAUUUGCAAUGCAUGUCAGCUACAUUGUUGUGUUUGA